AUCGUAAUGAAUUGAAAAGAUGCAAAGUGGCCGAUUGGGAUUUGGAAGGAAUGGCUCUCACGUGGCUUAGAGUUGUUCAUCACUAGACUAUCAUCAUACACAAAACUACUUAAGAGUCUGUUUUCACCCUUAGAUUCAAUCUUUAAAGAUUAUUGAUGGAAGAUUGAUUUUCGUUGAGUUUGCAAAGACUGGAGACAUGGGGUAGAUCCUACAUCUAGUUAAAGAACAUCAUUCACGAGAGACAUGGGGAUUUGGAUAUUUGUGCCAGCUUCAGAGUUUAAUCCAUAUGUGAUGUCACUAUUAACAAGUCAGAUCAUUGAAAGAAAAUAGUAAGACUACGAUUGUAAUGAGUCUGAUGUUCUAAUAUCUUUUAGGAUAAACACUUGUGAUACCGAUUAUUUAACUGUUGUCUUGGAAUUUAAAUCUAAUUUUGGUCUGCUGAACAAUUUUAUA